rfam:Schistosoma margrebowiei strain Zambia genome assembly, scaffold: SMRZ_contig0001138
AUUCAGCUGACGAAUAUAAAAUAAGACGAAACAUGCGUCCUGGAU